rnacentral:rRNA from 1 species
GAUGAACGCUGGCGGCGUGCCUAACACAUGCAAGUCGAGCGAUUUACUUCGGUAAAGAGCGGCGGACGGGUGAGUAACGCGUGGGUAACCUGCCCUGUACACACGGAUAACAUACCGAAAGGUAUGCUAGUACGAGAUAAUAUACUUUUAUCUCAUGGUAGAAGUAUCAAAGCUCUGGCGGUACAGGAUGGACCCGCGUCUGAUUAGCUAGUUGGUAAGGUAACGGCUUACCAAGGCGACGAUCAGUAGCCGACCUGAGAGGGUGAUCGGCCACAUUGGAACUGAGACACGGUCCAAACUCCUACGGGAGGCAGCAGUGGGGAAUAUUGCACAAUGGGCGAAAGCCUGAUGCAGCAACGCCGCGUGAGCGAUGAAGGCCUUCGGGUCGUAAAGCUCUGUCCUCAAGGAAGAUAAUGACGGUACUUGAGGAGGAAGCCCCGGCUAACUACGUGCCAGCAGCCGCCGUAA